rnacentral:rRNA from 1 species
AUUAGUUUUUUAAUUGAAGGCUAGAAUGAAUGGUUGGACAAGAAAUAAUCUGUCUUAAAUUAAUAUAUUGAAUUUAACUUUUAAGUGAAAAGGCUUAAAUAAUCUGAAGGGACGAUAAGACCCUAUAAAACUUUAUAUUUAAAAGUGAUAGGUAGGUUUUGUUUAAAGGUUAUUUCUUUAAAAUAUUUGGUUGGGGUGACAGGAAUAGAAUAGAAAGUAACUGUUCUUUUUUUUUACAGUAGUGUUUGAGUUAAUGAUCCUAAAAUGGAUUAAAGAUUAAGUUACUUUAGGGAUAACAGCGUAAUUUUCUUUAAGAGUUCUUAUCGAUAAGAGAGUUUGCGACCUCGAUGUUGAAUUAAAGGUUCUUUAUGGAGUAGAGAUUAUAAGAGAAGGUCUGUUCGACCUUUAAAACUUUACAUGAUUUGAGUUCAGACCGGUGUGAG